UCCGAAUUGGUGUAGUGGUUCAACAUUAUCGCCUCUCAGUUUGUUAUGUAAUCUGCACGCGAUAGCCAGGGGUUCGAUUCCCCUAUUCGGAA